rnacentral:rRNA from 1 species
AUUGAACGCUGGCGGCAGGCCUAACACAUGCAAGUCGAGCGAGCGGCGGACGGGUGAGUAAUGCCUGGGAAUUGCCCAGUCGAGGGGGAUAACAGUUGGAAACGACUGCUAAUACCGCAUACGAUUGGAUUGCCCAGGUGGGUUUAGCUAGUUGGUGAGGUAAUGGCUCACCAAGGCGACGAUCCCUAGAUGGUGUGAGAGGGUGAGCGGCCACGUGGGAACUGAGACACGGUCCGGACUCCUACGGGAGGCAGCAGUGGGGAAUAUUGCACAAUGGGGGAAACCCUGAUGCAGCCAGGCCGGGUGUGUGAAGAAGGCGUUCGGGUUGUAAAGCACGUGCAGCGAGGAGGGGGUACUCGCAGAAGGAGCACGGGCUAACUCCGGGCCAGCAGCCGCGGUAAUAC